GCGCGAAAACUUUACAAUGCGGGAAACCGCGAUAAGGGGACACCGAGUGCCAGCAUCCUAUGUUGGCUGUCCAUAUGUAUAAAUCACAUGUGUUAGCAAGGGCCGGGCAAGACCGGUGCCAGCCGCCGCGGUAACACCGGCGGCCCGAGUGGUGGCCACUAUUAUUGGGUCUAAAGGGUCCGUAGCCGGUUUGGUCAGUCUUCCGGGAAAUCUGACGGCUUAACCGUUAGGCUUUCGGGGGAUACUACCAGGCUUGGGACCGGGAGAGGUAAGAGGUACUACGGGGGUAGGAGUGAAAUCUUGUAAUCCCUGUUGGACCACCAGUGGCGAAGGCGUCUUACCAGAACGGGUCCGACGGUGAGGGACGAAAGCUGGGGGCACGAACCGGAUUAGAAACCCUAG
rnacentral:rRNA from 1 species